rnacentral:lncRNA from 1 species
CUGCACUACUUUUGAUUGUAGUCUGAUACUUAAGUAUUUGCUCAUUGAAGCUACACAAGAAACUCAGCUCUGUCCCACUGGAGGACAGCACUUACCUCCUCAGCAGCAAAGUGGUUGCUAAAGGAAGCACAGAGUGGCUUCUCUAGCAGGACGAGGUAACUGCAGGUCACAAGGGUUGUGUGCCCUCAGAAUUACAGCACAAAGGCAGAAAAUGGUAUGUCAGCUCCAUUGUCUUGCAUAGCUAUUUUCCAUCACAACGAGGCGGUAGCAAGGCUAGCUCCGGGCACAGCACACAGUUGAAUUGAAAGAUUAUUCUUGCUCCCCAGAUUUAUCAAGCAGAUGUUGGCUCCAAGAUACGACCACACCACUCUGCUGAUCACAGUAGAUUGCAUCACUCAGGCAGAAGGAAAGUAUUUUCAUUCGAUGACUGAAUGCAGAAAGAAAAGGCCCC